UACAGAGGUCUCAAGCGUUGUUCGGAUUCAUUGGGCGUAAAGGGUGUGUAGGUGGCGCCGUAAGUCGGGUGUGAAAUCUCGGGGCUUAACUCCGAAACUGCAUUCGAUACUGCGGUGCUUGAGGACUGGAGAGGAGACUGGAAUUCAUGGUGUAGCAGUGAAAUGCGUAGAUAUCGAGAGGAACACCUGCGGCGAAGGCGGGUUGCUGGGCUGACACUGACGCUGAUGCGCGAAAGCUAGGGGAGCGAACGGG
rnacentral:rRNA from 1 species